CAGUCACCCAGGCUGGAGUGCAGUGGUGUGAUCUGGGCUCACUGCAAGCUCCACCUCCCAGGUUCACGCCAUUCUCCUGCCUCAGCCUCCCGAGUAGCUGGGACUACAGGCACCCGCCACCACGUCUGGCUAAUUUUUUGUGUGUGUUUUUAGUAGAGACGGGGUUUCACCAUGUUAGCCAGGAUGGUCUCGAUCUCCUGACCUUGUGAGGCCUCCCACCUCGGCCUCCCAAAGUGCUGGGAUUACAGGUAUGAGCCACCGUGCCUGGCCAAAAGCCACUUUCAAAAGUGUUUCUGGAGCCUCUCUGUUGGAGCCUUCCUCCUUCCUUUUUUUUUUUUUGAGAUGGAGACUCGCUCUGUUACCUAGGCUGGAAUGCAGUGGCACAAUCUUGGCUCACUGCAACCUCCGCAAGCGAUUCUCCUGCCUCAGCCUCCCGAGUAGCUGGGAUUACAGGCAUGCUCCACCAUGCCCAACUAAUUUUUGUAUUUUUGGGUGGAGAUGGGGUUUCACCAUGUUGCCCAGGCUGGUCUCAAACUCCUGACCUCAAAUGAUCUGCCUGCCUCGGCCUCCUGGAGUGCUGGGAUUACAAGCGUAAGCCACCCCACCCAGCCCUCCCCAUUUCAUUUUUGGGAAGAAAAUUGGUAGAGAGAUGGUCCUCACGAUAGGCCCAAACUGUCUCCCUGUGAUCUCUGGUUUUAUCAUCUAAAGUUUCAACGAGUCCCCAUGUUUUAACAGCAGCCUCCAAAGUGGCUCUCAUCCAGUUAACCUGCACAUGUGUUUGCCAUGGGCUGCCGGUGAAGGUGCUGUUGACUGGAUGGGAGAGAUCCACACUAUGUUUGGAGCUACCUUCUAUCUAGAAAAAUGGAUCCAUAUGGGACACCAUAUGGGAAACGUGUAUAACCAGCCCUGAGUAGGAGGACAACAAUCAUUUGCAUAAGUGUCCAUUCUGGUACAGUUGGAGCCAAGACAGGAGUGCUGGAACAGAAGGGGAGUUCCCCAAGAUGGGGGAGUAAAUCCUUUUUUUUUUUUUUUUUUUCUUUUUUAGAGAUGGGGCCUCACUAUGUUGCCCAGGCUGGCCUCAAACUCCUGGGCUCAAGCAAUCUUCCAACCUCAGCCUUCCAAGCAGCUGGGACUACAGGUGCCUAAGUAAAUCUCUUUUCAAAGAGAAUACAGAAAGGUUUUCUGAAGGAAAUGGGCUAUAAACCAAGGGAAGGAUUUUAGUAAAUAGGACAGAGAAUGUUUCAGACUGGGCACAUCAGAAAUAAAGGUGAGGUGAGGGGGAUGAGAGAAACCUGAGCUGUGUUUAGUAAACUCUAGGGUAGGAUUUGGACACCUGUAGGAGAGAAAGAGGGAGACCAGAGAGGAAUCUGCUGCAAUAGCUCAGGAAAGGUACAAGAAGAAUGGUUGACUGUGGGGACUCAGAAAGAAGGGAUGAAGGUAAGAAAUCCUGUGAAGGUAAACUGACCCAAUGAGGCAGUCAACUGAGUGGAAGUGCUGGGAAAAUGGCCAACGCUAUGACCCAGGCUCCAGGACCCAGAAAAGGGCAGAGCCUUUAACGGGAGGGGACAGGACAGGGCUAGGGGUUCAGGCAUGUGGCUUGGGAGAUGCUGGAUGAUCGCUCAGGGGGAACUGCUUCUAAGGACCUUCCUAUUUCAUGGACCUCGUUUUGUAGUCCAUUCCCUUUCUUAUAGCUCUCCUCUGGGCAUGCUCUAGUUGUCACUGAACCCACCCUUUGGUGUCACCUGUUCUGGCCCUAAUCAGUAAUAUAACCUCAGAAUUCAGAGCCAAGCCCACGCAGUGACUUACUCUGACCUUGCAGUCGGCUGAACUUCCUUGGCAGUUUCCACACACGUUAUCAUUAAGCCACAUCUUCCCCCUCCAGUUCUACUUUUUGGAACAAUGAAUAUGACUUAUCUCUGUUAAAAGGUGAUCUUUUCUUUUUUCCAUCAUCCUAGCCAGUUGAACUCUUCUCGCUUUUCUAAAUCCUCACUACUAUGCAAAUACAUAUCACACCUCUGAUUAAGUCACUGAUGGGAAGACUGAACAGGGUCAACCAAAGACAGUGCCCAUGGUACUUGCAGGGAUCCAUCUGCCAGCCAGCUCUCGUUAACACAGUUAUGGUAACAGAUUAUUUGCAAUUUCUUAUGAAAUCCAGAAGGAAUGUUCUAUACUGCAGCAUUCCCCUCAUUUACAUAUAAAUAACCCAAGGACUGCCAUGAAAGGGAUUCAUUCAGUCUGCUAGGAUCAAUGAGCAAACAUUAUAGGAAAACGGAUUUCAACUCUAAUAAAGAACUAUUCCAUGCCCUCCCCUCGCCCCACUCUGGCUCUUGCUCUGUCACCGAGGCUGGAGUGCAGCAGCACCAUCACGGCUCACUGCAGCCUCAAACUCCUGGGCUCAAGGGAUCCUCCCACCUCAGCCUCCCAAGUAACUGGGACUACAAUACAGGUGUGCAUCACCACGCCCACCUAAUUUUUAAAAUUUUUUGUAGAGACAAGGGUCUCAUGUUGCCCAGGCUGGUCUCAAAUUCCUGACUUCAAGUGAUUCUCCCACCUCAGCCUCCUAAAGUGUUGGGGUUAUAGAUGUGGGCCACUGCACCCAAUCAAACUAUUUUCUACUAGUAGGAACUACCUGGAGUUAGAAUGGGCUCUCAGACAGAUAAUGAGCUCUCUCAUCACACUCAUUUUCAAACAAAGGCUUGCCAAACCUCCUAAAGGUCUCGUACAACCCCAGAUCCCAUUUAACCCAAAUGAUAGUCUUUACAGGACCCUAAAACACCCUACCACUGGACCUCACUCCUAUUAGUAUACCUCUCACUCACUCUAAAUGAAGCCAUAAGAUCUCCUUGAGUUCUCGGAGCAGGCCAGGUGAGUGGUCCACUUUGCACUUGAUGUUACUGCUUCCCUAGAUAUCUGCACCACCCACCCUCGCCCUCCAUGCAAAUGCCACUUUCUUGGCAGAUUCCUCCCUGACCAACCUAUUAAAAACAUUGAACUGGGACUGCCACUCCAUAUCUCCUUUCCUCCAUUUUUCUCCUUAGCAAUUACAGCAUACUAUAUAUUCUACUUUUCCUGUUUACUGUCUCCACUAGAAUAUAAACUCCUUAAGUUUCUUUUUUUUUUUUUGGACACAGGGUCUUGUUCUGUUGCCCAGGCUGGAGUGCAGUGGUGUUAUCACGGCUCACUGCAGCCUCUAUCUCCCAGGCUCAAGUGAUCCUCCUGCCUCAGUUUCUCGAGUAGCGGGGACAACAGACACACAGCACCAUGGUCAGCUAAUUGUGUUUUAAGUAGAGACAGGGUCUCACUAUGUUGUCCAGGCUGGUCUCGAUCUCCUGGGCUAAAGUGAUCCUCCCAACUCAGCCUCCCAAAGUGCUAGGGAUUACAGGUGUGAACCACCACACCUGGCCUAUAGAAAGAAUUUUUCUUUCUUUUUUUUUUUUUUUUUUGAGAUAGAGUCUCGUUCUGUCGCCCAGGCUGGAGUGCUGUGGUAUGAUCUUGGCUCACUGCAACCUCGCCUCCUGGGUUCAAGCAAUUCUCCUGCCUUAGCCUCCUAAGUAGCUGGGAUUACAGGCGCAUGCCAUCACACCCGGCUAAUUUUUUUAUUUUUAGUGGAGACAGGGUUUCACCAUGUCGGUCAGGCUGGUCUUGAACUCCUGACCUCAAAUGAUCUCCCUGCCUUGGCCUCCCAAAGUGCUGGGAUUACAGGCAUGAGCCACCGCACCCAGCCUUGAUGCCAAAUUUAAUGCCCAAAAGGAGGUUGUGAGCUUUGGGCCUGACAGAUGCUGCUUUAAAUAAAUAUGUUGAGUUUUAAAUCAUGCACCUGAGGCUUCUGAGUUGCUUUGAGACCCUUUCUGCUUUACUUCCAUAAGUGGGUGGGCUGAGUUAAAAAAAUCUUCAAUCAAAAUCAUGAAAACAGUUGUAAUUUUUAAGAUACUGAACAGAUAUACUGUAUACAGGAACCAGAAUAUGGCGGAAAAAAGUAUUGCACAAAACAAUCUAGAAGUUAUGUUUCCUGGACCACUCAUUUUUCUUCUUCAUUCAUAGACCAGAGCUUGCUUUCUGAAAGCAUGGCAUAAAAGUCCACUGCUCCUCACUCCUCUGACUUUUGAGACUUUCUGACUUAAAAAACCUAGAAUCUUUUUUUUUUUUUGAGACGGAGUCUCGCUCUGUCACCCAGGCUGAAGUGGAGUGGCACGAUCUCGGCUCACUGUAAGCUCUGCCUCCCGGGUUCACGCCAUUCUCCUGCCUCAGCCUCCAAAGUAGCUGGGACUACAGGCGCCCACCCCCACGCCCGGCUAAUUUGUUGUAUUUUUAGUAGAGACGGGGUUUCACCGUGUUAGCCAGGAUGGUCUCAAUCUACUGACCUCGUGAUCCACCCACCUCGGCCUCCCAAAGUGCUGGGAUUACAGGCGUGAGCCACCGCACCUGGCCUAAAAAACCUAGAAUCUUAAAAACAAGUUAUCUCCAUUCUAAUAGCAGUCUUUAUGGAAGUAACACUGUAACAAAUAAUCUUUAUCACAGUUUGAAAGCUCACUCUAUUGAGAGAAGACAAAGCUCAGAAGCAGUACCACGUACCAAUGCCUUGAAAAAUUAUGAAUCCCCAAAUGAAAGUGCGCAACCAGAGGAAAAUUAAACUUGGGUACAACUUAAAACUUCAUCCGCUGGCUUUUAGCUGGGGCUUUUAAAAUGUGAUAUAAAAAUGUUCUAAUGCUAACAGAAGCAAUAAAUGCAAUAUCCAUUGCUCUGCCUCCUACAACUACUAGCAGCCUUGUUAUCUCAGACACAAGUGCUCUAUCCCACAAAGUGCUUGUGUUCUUUCCUAAGGAAUCCUGGAGAUAUUUAUGCCAUCUAAAAUAUUCUGCAACUGGCUGAGCACAGUGGCUCACACCUGCAAUCCCAGUACUUUGGGAGGCCGAGGCAGGCGGAUCGCUUGAGCUCAUGAUUUCGAGACCAGUCUAGGAAACAUGGCGAAACCCCAUCUCUACAAAAAAUACAAAAAUUAGCCGGGUGUGGUGGCAUGUGCCUGUAGUCCUAGCUACUUGGGAGGCUGAGGCAGGAGGAUGGCUAGCUUGAGCCCAGGAGGCAGAGACUGCAGUAAGCCAAGAUUGUGCCACUACUCCAGCCUGGGCAACAGAGCCAGAUCUUGUCUCUAAAUACAUAUAAAUAAAUAUUCUACAACAGUAUCAUUUCUCUGGGACCCAGGAGACAGCCCAGUAGUACAUACUAGAUGCAAUUUUCUUUUCCUUUUUUUUUUUUUUUCUGAGACAGGGUCUU
rnacentral:lncRNA from 1 species